AUACGGAGGAUCCGAGCGUUAUCCGGAUUUAUUGGGUUUAAAGGGAGCGUAGGUGGGAUAUUAAGUCAGCUGUGAAAGUUUGGGGCUCAACCUUAAAAUUGCAGUUGAUACUGGUUUCCUUGAGUACGGUACAGGUGGGCGGAAUUCGUGGGGUAGCGGUGAAAUGCUUAGAUAUCACGAAGAACUCCGAUCGCGAAGGCAGCUCACCGGGCCGGAACUGACACUGAUGCUCGAAAGUGCGGGUAUCAAACAGGAUUAGAUACCCUGGUAGUCCGCACAGUAAACGAUGAAUACUCGCUGUUUGCGAUACACGGUAAGCGGCCAAGCGAAAGCGUUAAGUAUUCCACCUGGGGAGUACGCCGGCAACGGUGAAACUCAAAUGAAUUGACGGGG
rnacentral:rRNA from 1 species